GACGAAUGCUGGCGGCGUGCCUAAUACAUGCAAGUUGAGCGAUGAAGAUUGGUGCUUGCACCAAUUUGAAGAGCAGCGAACGGGUGAGUAACGCGUGGGGAAUCUGCCUUUGAGCGGGGGACAACAUUUGGAAACGAAUGCUAAUACCGCAUAACAACUUUAAACAUAAGUUUUAAGUUUGAAGGAUGCAAUUGCAUCACUCAAAGAUGAUCCCGCGUUGUAUUAGCUAGUUGGUGAGGUAAAGGCUCACCAAGGCGAUGAUACAUAGCCGACCUGAGGGGGUGAUCGGCCACAUUGGGACUGGGACACGGCCCAAACUCCUACGGGAGGCAGCAGUAGGGAAUCUUCGGCAAUGGACGAAAGUCUGACCGAGCAACGCCGCGUGAGUGAAGAAGGUUUUCGGAUCGUAAAACUCUGUUGGUAGAGAAGAACGUUGGUGAGAGUGGAAAGCUCAUCAAGUGACGGUAACUACCCAGAAAGGGACGGCUAACUACGUGCCAGCAGCCGCCGCCG
rnacentral:rRNA from 1 species